GGGUGUUUAGCGCAGUGGUAGCGCGUUCGCUUUGCACGGACUAUUGCGAAAGGCCAGGAGUUCGAUCCUCCUAACAUCCA
rfam:Schizophyllum commune H4-8 unplaced genomic scaffold SCHCOscaffold_4, whole genome shotgun sequence.